rnacentral:lncRNA from 10 species
GGAAGGGAGGAAGCGUAGAAGGUGCCGAUGCACUUUUCCUCUCUCCAGCCCUCCUGACUGCUCCAAGAAUUUCAUCGAACAAGACUCAAAGAGGCCCAGCUGCUCUGCGUUUUGAUUCUUCUCCCUCUCUCAGUCCACACUGACCUGGGAGGGGCUUCUCAAACACCACAUUUCCUAGCGUGCUGUGAGAAGAGGACUGUGAGCUAAGAAGGGAGAAAAGAUGGAGUCUCUCACUCCAUCCCCCAGGCACUGGACUGCAGUAGUACGAUCUUGACUCACUGCAACCUCUGCCUCCCAGGUUCAAGCGAUUCUCCUGCCUCAGCCUCCCGAGUAGCUGGGACUACAGGCACUCCCUCCUCAUCAACAAACACCUGACCUGGGUAGACCCUCUGCUUACCAAGAUCCAGUCCACCUUUUGACAUCAGCAUUCAUGCUGCCUCUUUUUACGAACCAAGCCAAAGUGGUCCCUUCCUCUGGAAAUUAUAGGAUACUUAAUGUACAUCAUAUCCAGCUUCCCGACUCCAGACUGUGGGAGAUGACACAGAGCCAGCCUGCCUGGAUGUGACUCAGCUCUGCAACUUAUUAAAGACCUUUGGCAAAU